AUGUACCCAAGAGGCUGAAGGGACCGCACUCGAAAUGCGGCAGGCCGGGCAACCGGUGCGAGGGUUCAAAUCCCUCCAUCUCCG
rnacentral:tRNA from 1 species